rnacentral:rRNA from 1 species
CGGCGUGCUUAACACAUGCAAGUCGAACGGUGAUCUUGAGAGCUUGCUCUUGGGUGAUCAUUGGCGAACGGGUGAGUAACACGUGAGCAACCUGCCCCACACUCUGGAAUAACCCCGGGAAACCGGAGCUAAUACCGGAUACCACACUGGCCCGCAUGGGUAUGGUGUGGAAAGUUUUUCGGUCUGGGAUGGGCUCGCGUCCUAUCAGCUUGUUGGUGAGGUAGUGGCUCACCAAGGCGACGACGGGUAGCCGGCCUGAGAGGGCGACCGGCCACACUGGGACUGAGACACGGCCCAGACUCCUACGGGAGGCAGCAGUGGGGAAUAUUGCACAAUGGGCGCAAGCCUGAUGCAGCGACGCCGCGUGAGGGAUGACGGCCUUCGGGUUGUAAACCUCUUUCAGCAGGGAAGAAGCGCAAGUGACGGUACCUGCAGAAGAAGCACCGGCUAAAUACUUGCCAGCACCCGCGGUAAUACGUAGGGUGCGAGCGUUGUCUUGAAUUAUUGGGCGUAAAGAGCUUGUAGGCGGUUUGUCGCGUCUCCUGUGAAAAUUCGGGGCUCUACCCCGGACUUGCACUGGGUACGGGCAGGAUAGAGUGUGGUAGGGGAGUCUGGAAUUCCUGGUGUAGCGGUGAAAUGCGCAGAUAUCUGGAGGAACACCGAUGGCGAAGGCAGGUCUCUGGGCCUCUAUUGACGCUGAGAAGCGAAAGCAUGGGGAGCGAACAGGAUUAGAUACCCUGGUAGUCCAUGCCGUAAACGUUGGGAACUAGGUGUGGGUCUCAUUCCCCGAGAUCCCUGCCGCAGCUAACGCAU